rnacentral:rRNA from 1 species
CCAGCAUGAGUUAUGUCAUGUUAUCGAUAUGUGAAUACAUAGCAUAUCAGAAGGCACACCCGGAGAACUGAAACAUCUUAGUACCCGGAGGAAGAGAAAGAAAAUUCGAUUCCCUUAGUAGCGGCGAGCGAAACGGGAAGAGCCCAAACCAACAAGCUUGCUUGUUGGGGUUGUAGGACACUCUAUACGGAGUUACAAAGGACGACAUUAGACGAAUCAUCUGGAAAGAUGAAUCAAAGAAGGUAAUAAUCCUGUAGUCGAAAAUGUUGUCUCUCUUGAGUGGAUCCUGAGUACGACGGAGCACGUGAAAUUCCGUCGGAAUCUGGGAGGACCAUCUCCUAAGGCUAAAUACUCUCUAGUGACCGAUAGUGAACCAGUACCGUGAGGGAAAGGUGAAAAGCACCCCGGAAGGGGAGUGAAAUAGAACCUGAAACCGUGUGCUUACAAGUAGUCAGAGCCCGUUAAUGGGUGAUGGCGUGCCUUUUGUAGAAUGAACCGGCGAGUUACGAUUUGAUGCAAGGUUAAGCAGUAAAUGUGGAGCCGUAGCGAAAGCGAGUCUGAAUAGGGCGUUUAGUAUUUGGUCGUAGACCCGAAACCAGGUGAUCUACCCUUGGUCAGGUUGAAGUUCAGGUAACACUGAAUGGAGGACCGAACCGACUUACGUUGAAAAGUGAGCGGAUGAACUGAGGGUAGCGGAGAAAUUCCAAUCGAACCUGGAGAUAGCUGGUUCUCUCCGAAAUAGCUUUAGGGCUAGCCUCAAGUGAUGAUUAUUGGAGGUAGAGCACUGUUUGGACGAGGGGCCCCUCUCGGGUUACCGAAUUCAGACAAACUCCGAAUGCCAAUUAAUUUAACUUGGGAGUC